rnacentral:rRNA from 1 species
ACCUAAUAGAUACCCAGGUAGUCCACGCCCUAAACGAUGCGAACUGGAUGUUGGGUACAUUACGGUACUCAGUGUCGAAAGCUAAACGCGUUAAGUUCGCCGCCUGGGGAGUACGGUCGCAAGACUGAAACUCAAAGGAAUUGACGGGGGUUCCGCACAAGCGGUGGAGUAUGUGGCUUAAAUUCGAUGCAACGCGAAGAACCUUACCUGGCCUUGACAUCUGUCGAAUCCUGCAGAGAUGCGGGAGUGCCGCAAGGAACGACAAGACAGGUGCUGCAUGGCUGUCGUCAGCUCGUGUCGUGAGAUGUUGGGUUUAAACGUCCCGCAACGAGCGCAACCCGUUGUCCCUAGUUGCCAGCACAUCAUGG